rnacentral:tRNA from 1 species
GGGCGCUUGGCUCAGCGGUAGAGCACCGCCUUCACACGGCGGGGGUCACUGGUUCGAAUCCAGUAGCGCCCACCA